rnacentral:rRNA from 1 species
UGAUAUGGAGCAAAACCCUAAAAGCGGUCUCAGUUCGGAUUGAAGGCUGAAAUUCGCCUUCAUGAAGCUGGAAUUGCUAGUAAUGGCAGGUCAGCAUACUGCCGUGAAUACGUUCCCGGGCCUUGUACACACCGCCCGUCACACCAUGAGAGUUGGAAAUACCCGAAGCCUGUGAGCUAACUGUAAAGAGGCAGCAGUCGAAGGUAGAGCCAAUGAUUGGGGUGAAGUCGUAACAAGGUAGC